UACAGGGGGGGGCAAGCGUUGUUCGGAAUUACUGGGCGUAAAGGGCUCGUAGGUGGCCAACUAAGUCAGACGUGAAAUCCCUCAGCUUAACUGGGGAACUGCGUCUGAUACUGGAUGGCUUGAGUUUGGGAGAGGGAUGCGGAAUUCCAGGUGUAGCGGUGAAAUGCGUAGAUAUCUGGAGGAACACCGGUGGCGAAGGCGGCAUCCUGGACCAACACUGACGCUGAGUGAGCGAAAGCCAGGGGAGCAAACGGGG
rnacentral:rRNA from 1 species